CUUGAUGGAGCCCAGGUGGAGCGGCUGCUCGGCGGAACGGUCCUGACCGUAGGUCGCCAGCAGGGCCUGCGCCUC
rfam:Streptomyces sp. SolWspMP-5a-2 genome assembly, contig: Ga0115242_1039